GACGUAGGGCGCGAGCGUUGUCCGGAUUUAUUGGGCGUAAAGAGCUCGUAGGCGGUUUGUCGCGUCUGCCGUGAAAGUCCGGGGCUCAACUCCGGACCUGCGGUGGGUACGGGCAGACUAGAGUGAUGUAGGGGAGACUGGAAUUCCUGGUGUAGCGGUGAAAUGCGCAGAUAUCAGGAGGAACACCGAUGGCGAAGGCAGGUCUCUGGGCAUUAACUGACACUGAGGAGCGAAAGCGUGGGGAGCGAACAGG
rnacentral:rRNA from 1 species